GCAAACUUGGUCAUUUAGAGGAAGUAAAAGUCGUAACAAGGUUUCCGUAGGUGAACCUGCGGAAGGAUCAUUAACGGUUCCUUCGGGAACAGUCACCUCUGACCCGCGCGUCCCUCCCCGUCCACCGGGGGGUGUACGUGUAGAAGUUACGGUUUACCGUGUUCACUUCUAACCCUUUGUGAAACUUCCACCUUUGCUUCGGCAGCACCGGACGGGUAACACCGCGAGGGUAAGGCUGUCAGAGGCUUACUGCAAAACUUGUCGUUGAAAAUACAUGCGGUCUGACACACUCUUUCGCCUGAGAAAUCGGGUGAAGCCAAUAUUAAAACUUUCAGCAACGGAUCUCUUGGUUCCCGCAUCGAUGAAGAACGCAGC
rnacentral:misc_RNA from 1 species